GAUGAACGCUGGCGGCGUGCCUAAUACAUGCGAGUCGAGCGAACAGACGAGGAGCUUGCUCCUCUGACGUUAGCGGCGGACGGGUGAGUAACACGUGGAUAACCUACCUAUAAGACUGGGAUAACUUCGGGAAACCGGAGCUAAUACCGGAUAACAUGUUGAACCGCAUGGUUCAACAGUGAAAGACGGUCUUGCUGUCACUUAUAGAUGGAUCCGCGCCGCAUUAGCUAGUUGGUAAGGUAACGGCUUACCAAGGCAACGAUGCGUAGCCGACCUGAGAGGGUGAUCGGCCACACUGGAACUGAGACACGGUCCAGACUCCUACGGGAGGCAGCAGUAGGGAAUCUUCCGCAAUGGGCGAAAGCCUGACGGAGCAACGCCGCGUGAGUGAAGAAGGUCUUCGGAUCGUAAAACUCUGUUAUUAGGGAAGAACAAAUGUGUAAGUAACGAUGCACGUCUGGACGGUACCUAAGCAGAAAGCCACGGCUAACUACGG
rnacentral:rRNA from 1 species